rnacentral:misc_RNA from 1 species
GAUGAAGAACGUAGCGAAAUGCGAUAAGUAAUGUGAAUUGCAGAAUUCAGUGAAUCAUCGAAUCUUUGAACGCACAUUGCGCCCCUUGGUAUUCCGAGGGGCAUGCCUGUUCGAGCGUCAUUAUAACCCUCAAGCUCAGCUUGGUGUUGGGGCCUGCUGCACUGGCAGCCCUUAAAAUCAGUGGCGGCGCCAUCUGGCUCUAAGCGUAGUAAUUCUUCUCGCUAUGGAGUCCUGGUGGAUGCUUGCCAUCAACCCCCAAUUUUUCUAUGGUUGACCUCGGAUCAGGUAGGGAUACCCGCUGAACUUAAGCAUAUCAAAAGCGGAGGA